rnacentral:rRNA from 1 species
UCAUCUUCGGGGGUAGAGCACUGUUUCGGCUAGGGGGUCAUCCCGACUUACCAACCCGAUGCAAACUGCGAAUACCGAAGAAUGUUAUCACGGGAGACACACGGCGGGUGCUAACGUCCGUCGUGAAGAGGGAAACAACCCAGACCGCCAGCUAAGGUCCCAAAGUCAUGGUUAAGUGGGAAACGAUGUGGGAAGGCCCAGACAGCCAGGAUGUUGGCUUAGAAGCAGCCAUCAUUUAAAGAAAGCGUAAUAGCUCACUGGUCGAGUCGGCCUGCGCGGAAGAUGUAACGGGGCUAAACCAUGCACCGAAGCUGCGGCAGCGACACUAUGUGUUGUUGGGUAGGGGAGCGUUCUGUAAGCCUGCGAAGGUGUGCUGUGAGGCAUGCUGGAGGUAUCAGAAGUGCGAAUGCUGACAUAAGUAACGAUAAAGCGGGUGAAAAGCCCGCUCGCCGGAAGACCAAGGGUUCCUGUCCAACGUUAAUCGGGGCAGGGUGAGUCGACCCCUAAGGCGAGGCCGAAAGGCGUAGUCGAUGGGAAACAGGUUAAUAUUCCUGUACUUGGUGUUACUGCGAAGGGGGGACGGAGAAGGCUAUGUUGGCCGGGCGACGGUUGUCCCGGUUUAAGCGUGUAGGCUGGUUUUCCAGGCAAAUCCGGAAAAUCAAGGCUGAGGCGUGAUGACGAGGCACUACGGUGCUGAAGCAACAAAUGCCCUGCUUCCAGGAAAAGCCUCUAAGCAUCAGGUAACAUCAAAUCGUACCCCAAACCGACACAGGUGGUCAGGUAGAGAAUACCAAGGCGCUUGAGAGAACUCGGGUGAAGGAACUAGGCAAAAUGGUGCCGUAACUUCGGGAGAAGGCACGCUGAUAUGUAGGUGAAGUCCCUCGCGGAUGGAGCUGAAAUCAGUCGAAGAUACCAGCUGGCUGCAACUGUUUAUUAAAAACACAGCACUGUGCAAACACGAAAGUGGACGUAUACGGUGUGACGCCUGCCCGGUGCCGGAAGGUUAAUUGAUGGGGUUAGCGGUAACGCGAAGCUCUUGAUCGAAGCCCCGGUAAACGGCGGCCGUAACUAUAACGGUCCUAAGGUAGCGAAAUUCCUUGUCGGGUAAGUUCCGACCUGCACGAAUGGCGUAAUGAUGGCCAGGCUGUCUCCACCCGAGACUCAGUGAAAUUGAACUCGCUGUGAAGAUGCAGUGUACCCGCGGCAAGACGGAAAGACCCCGUGAACCUUUACUAUAGCUUGACACUGAACAUUGAGCCUUGAUGUGUAGGAUAGGUGGGAGGCUUUGAAGUGUGGACGCCAGUCUGCAUGGAGCCGACCUUGAAAUACCACCCUUUAAUGUUUGAUGUUCUAACGUUGACCCGUAAUCCGGGUUGCGGACAGUGUCUGGUGGGUAGUUUGACUGGGGCGGUCUCCUCCUAAAGAGUAACGGAGGAGCACGAAGGUUGGCUAAUCCUGGUCGGACAUCAGGAGGUUAGUGCAAUGGCAUAAGCCAGCUUGACUGCGAGCGUGACGGCGCGAGCAGGUGCGAAAGCAGGUCAUAGUGAUCCGGUGGUUCUGAAUGGAAGGGCCAUCGCUCAACGGAUAAAAGGUACUCCGGGGAUAACAGGCUGAUACCGCCCAAGAGUUCAUAUCGACGGCGGUGUUUGGCAC